GUCCACAUGGAAUCUCUGAAGGUGACCUCAUUUAGAAAUAGAGUCUCUGUAGACAUAAUCGGUUAGGUUGCAAUGAGGUUAUGCUGGAUGAGGGUGGGUCCUAAAUCUGGUGAUUUCGUAAGAAGAUGGCUACGUGAACAGAACAGAGACACAGAGGGAAGGGGCCGGUGGGGACUGAGGCAGAGAUUGGAGGCAUGCUGGAACAAGCCUACCUUCCAGGUGUAACCUCAGAGAACCCUCUGUACUCCCUUCCUUCUCACUGGCCCCCCUUUCUACUCCGAGAGUGCAUUUGUCACAGGACCUGAACACAUCCUUAGCUGCUAAUGUGUGAAAUUCGUGCCUCCAUUUUACCCGGAACUUGACCCAUCAGCAUCCCCAGCCUAGAGAAAAACACCAUGAAACCACUCGUCAGUGAUGCUGGCCCUCGCUUCAUCAACGCAGAUCUUAAGUCUUGCUAGGAGAGUGUGUUCAGAUCAACUAAGCAAUCGCUGAUAGGGAGUAGGCGGUCACCCCUGAUGAAUCCACUCGAGCAUUCCCGUCCCCCAAAGACUUUGAAUCCAGAGUCCCUGGAAGGAUAGGCUACUGAUAACGUCCGCGAGGCUUCACGCCCAGCAGGGAACCCCACACGGGGCUUGAGCUCACAACCUAGGAUGAAGACCUGAGCUGAGAUCAAGAGUUGGAUGCUCAACUGACCGAGCCACCCAGGCGCCCCAGCUGGGUUUUAACCACGUGGGAAAAAGCUCCGGGAGCAGAGAACAGGAAUGUUUCAUUCUUUCAACAGGGGGUGGGCCAAGUUGGGAAAGGUAGGACCAAGGAGAAGAUACUGGAGCUGAAGGGGAAUGGACAAGGAUCAAGGAUUCACUCUGGGGAAGAAAAGGAGAAAGGGCAACAGGGAAUUGAAGCCACAACUUCAAUAAAAGCCCAGGGGCAUGAAAGCGCCUAUUUUGUGAUGUGAUGUGUGUGUGUGUGUAUGCUAAGUCCCUAUAAUCAUGAAGAAAUGAAAGCAAAUGGCAUAGUCCUAAACUGUUUUUCAGUUAUUUCAAU